rnacentral:rRNA from 1 species
UACGGAGGGUGCAAGCGUUAUCCGGAUUUACUGGGUUUAAAGGGUGCGCAGGCGGAUAUGUAAGUCAGUGGUGAAAUCUCUAGGCUUAACCUGGAAAUUGCCAUUGAUACUAUAUGUCUUGAAUGCUGUGGAGGUAAGCGGAAUAUGUCAUGUAGCGGUGAAAUGCUUAGAUAUGACAUAGAACACCUAUUGCGAAGGCAGCGUACUACGCAGAUAUUGACGCUCAUGCACGAAAGCGAGGGGAUCAAACCGG